rnacentral:rRNA from 1 species
CCUACGGGUGACUGCAGUGAGGAAUAUUGGUCAAUGGACGCAACUCUGAACCAGCCAAGUAGCGUGCAGGAUGACGGCCCUAUGGGUUGUAAACUGCUUUUGUGCGAGGGUAAACGGAGAUACGUGUAUCUGUUUGCAAGUAUCGUAUGAAUAAGGAUCGGCUAACUCCGUGCCAGCAGCCGCGGUAAUACGGAGGAUUCAAGCGUUAUCCGGAUUUAUUGGGUUUAAAGGGUGCGUAGGCGGUCGGUUAAGUUAGUGGUGAAAUCCCGAGGCUCAACUUUGGAAUUGCAUCUGAUACUGGUCGGCUAGAGAGUAGUUGCGGUAGGCGGAAUGUAUGGUGUAGCGGUGAAAUGCUUAGAGAUCAUGCAGAACACCGAUUGCGAAGGCAGCUUACCAUG